rnacentral:rRNA from 1 species
GAUGAACGCUGGCGGCAUGCCUAACACAUGCAAGUCGAUCGGUAAGACUCUUCGCAGUCCCCGAGAGGCGUACGGCUGGGUGACUCGUUGGCACACACCUUGCCGUGCGGGAUGAGACACCGAAAGUCGUGCUACUACAGCAAACAGCCUUCGGUUUAAAGCAGUUAUUCGCUCAAGUGGUGGCCGGCGUCAUGUUAUAUAGUUGGGAAGGUAAGGGCUCACCAUGUCGAUUAUGUAUAGCUGGUCUGAGAGGAUGAGCAGCGAGACCGCAACUGAGACACAGUCCAGACUCCUACGGGAGGCAGCAGUGAGGGAUAUAGCACAACGGGCUGAAGCAUGAUGGACCUAUGACGCGAGCAGGAUGAAGGUCGGCGAGUUGUAAACUGCUUUUAUAAGAGAAGAUUAUGACGGUAACUAAUGAGUAAGGGACGGCUAACUACGUG